CUUAAUUUAUGUGUAGUUCAGUGUGUCGACUGUGUAGGUGUCCAUGGAGUCCGGAAGAGUGCACCAGGCCCCAGAGCUGGAGUCACUUGUGAGUCGCCUGAUAUGAGUGGUAGGAACGGAACUGUAAGAGCAACAAGUGCCCUUACGUGCUGGGCCUGCUUUCCAGCCCCUAUGCAGGUGGCGUUAGCUGUAGAGUCAACCAGUAGCACGUCUACAUGGCACACCAGUGCUGUAUUGAUGCUCUUUUCCUGGGCUUUUAUGAAUACUCAGACCUUCUAGCUUCUGGACUCACAUGCAGGUUCUCCUCUGGGUUAAAGAUUUUCUUUCUACUUCAAGCCUGUCCUUUUGGAAUCCUUUGUUUCUGCGCCGCGUCAGGAAGUCCUUGGUGUGUAGAUGAACCCACCUGAUGGCGCACAGGCCACCGGCUCUGGCUGUAUGCAGAGCUAGACUUUACGUGGGAGACCAAGACAGGGCAGCUGUUCUCUGAGGACACGGAGGUGAAAAGGUUGGCUGCCACAGCUGCCAGGGCAGCCCACUUUCCAAUGGUCCUGGUCCUUCAUCCCCACAGUCAAGGACUCCAAGAGAGCAGAAGACCUAGGGUCCCAUGGGGACCCCACCAUGGCUCUGACCUUCCCCUUCACUGUGUGUGGGUACCCACAGAGGCCAGAAGAGCUCAUCACAUGCCCUGGAACUAGAGCCACAGGCAGCUCUGUGCCACCUAAUAUGGACACUGGGAACUGAACUCCAGUCGUCUGCAAAGCAUACAAGCGCUUUUGAUCCUUGAGCCAUCCCUCCAGCCCUGCUCCUUCAAGUUUUACAGAAUUUUAGUUAAGCAUCUGUCCUAGUUUGUUCUUCAUUGCUGUGACAAAACACUCU